CCGUUGUAUUGGGUGGGAAGUGAGCGGGUGAUGAGUGCUGAUGGGUGUCCUUUUUCAUUGCUCGGUUGUGAUAGUAGCUUCUUCAAUGGAUAAAAGAUCGAGCACACCAUGGUGUAAGAGGUAACUAUAUAUGCUUCUAUGUCUAUUGUCCUAGAUGACGGAAGAGACCCGUGACCGCUUUACACAUUAGUGACGUGCAUUCUGCGAUUUUUGCUCACUAAUCAUGUUUCUGUAUCAUACAGAGAAGUAGCUCCACUUCUCCUCGCUGGCACACGAGUCGUUCUCUAACUCCAAGACGUCGUAAAGGUCAUUCUCUUCAACUCCAAGGUGUUAUGAGAGGCAAAGAAUUAGGAGUUCCUCAGUGUCUCCUACUCGUAAACCUUCUAGUCCAAGUCUUGGGUUAGUGGAGUGCAAAAUUCUUAGUGAAAAAAUGAGAAAAGAAGAGGAGGAGGAGGAGGAGGAGAGGUGUAUCGACUAUCAUGCAUCUUGGUUCUGUCUAUCAUCAAGUUUCUAUUACCAUUCCUAAAUUUCAGCACUCUAAACUUAUCAUUUGAACUUUUGGCAUAUUCUUGCAAGUUUCUAUUGAUUGCAUAUACGUUGUUAGAUUGAUCUGGAGAUAGAAAAUGUUAGUCUAUUAGGCAUGUACGUGUUGCUUAAUGAAUCAGAGAAGUUGUACCGUAUCCACGAGGCCAAAUUGUAACUUAAUGCCAUCUAAUUGAGAGAUUCCAGCUCUGUGCAGCCUGGUCCAUGGAGGUCAAAGAAAAUGACCGGGAGAUAUCUUAACCAGUGGUCUGCAUGAAACAUGAAAUUCUACAUCUUCAAUUGCAUUAGUCCGAUU
rnacentral:lncRNA from 1 species